AAAGUAUUUUUGUGUAAACAAAAUGCCCUGUAGACAAACUCACAACACAUGUAUCCUACACAUUUAUUGGCAGUGCAAUUAAAAUUAAUUUAUUGAAAAUUAAACUUUGACAAUGUUUUACAAUGAAAUAUAGGCACUGCUGACACUACUGAGGCUGAAGGUGAUAUCAAAAGAUCUCACUGACCAGUUCAGUGUUCAUUUAUGGGGAAAUGAACAUCAGGUGGCACCAUUCAAAGGCUUCAUAAACAUUUACCACAAAAAAUCAGGUCUCCCCCCUCCCCUUCUUGGAUAUAUGUAAGGGAGUGUAAUACAUCUGUUUGGAAAGGUGAGAUGUGGGUGGCAGGAAGGAAAAUAUGGAGGUAUGGGGAAGAAAGGGGGAAUACGAAGGUGUGAGUGUUGCAUUUAGGGAAUAUAGAGUUAUGGUGGGACAUAU